GCCGUGCUGAAAGCGGAGCCCUGCUAAUUAGGUUUAUGGCCAACAGUGGAGGCUCAAGGUGCACCUGAGAGGAGAGCUGAGGCGCUGCAGCAGGAACAGCCACCAGCACAUCGCUGCGGAUGGGAGGGAGGAAGGGCAGAGGCAGCACAGUGCCCAGCACCCUCAGGGAUUGGGGUGCACCCGGGGUCAUCCUGUGCUCCUUCCCCCAGCGCUGACAUGGGAACGGCCCCAGUGCAGCCACCCACCGCCGCUCACUGUGAUCCAGGGUCCUGAGCUGACCUCGCUCUGCUGCACCCACGCAGGGCAGGGAUGGCUGAAUUACUGCUCCCUGCUGCGCUCUGUACAUCCUCCUCCUGGCCGGGUGGCCUCAGGAUCUGUGGGGCUGGAUGGCUGCGUGCUCUCAGGUCAAACAGUAGCUCCAUUUUUUCCCUUGUGAAGGACCAAGAGCUUGCCUGGUUCCAAGGAAGUAGCUGUGGAUUUUAAUUUAAUUUUAUUUUUUCCCUCCUCCGUUCUUCUUUCUGAAUCUUUUUGGGAUUUUGGGCUCUUAAUGAGGAUGCUUGGACCAGCACAGGGUGCAGCCCCAUGCAGAGGGGUGAACGCCUCUGGAGAAGCAAUGGGAGCAGCACACCAAGAGCUGGCAACCGCAGUGCCUUGGGUCUGAAACUGGGAGCUGUGUCCCUUCACAUCGCAUGGCUGCAUCCUCCCCAGCACAUCCCAUAGGGAUUAGGUGGGAUUCUGGGGGGCGCAAGGCCAAACCGCAGUGAGGGGAACGUCAAGAAAGGGAAAAAUGUCACCCUCAGAAACAAUUAAACUGCUUAAUAAAAUCCGUUGCCUCUCGGAGUGCUCGCUGUUCUUUUCCGUUUGCCUUGGCUCAGCC
rnacentral:lncRNA from 1 species